rnacentral:lncRNA from 1 species
AAUGAUCUUGCCGGGAAUGGACCUUUCAGAUGAGCACCAGCCACGCGAGUCCUUCUCAAGUCCUGAAUCAUUACUUGCCCAAAUCAGAACAGCUUGCAAUAAACAUGGUGUCGAGGUUUCUGGGCAGAACUCAUCAGUUACAGGAGCUCCUGGCGGUUUUGAGCAAAUGAAGAAAAAUUUGUUUGGUGAGAAUGUAGUGGACUUGUUCACUUAUCAGAGAAUGGGAGCAUAUUUCUUUUCACCUGAGCAUUUCCCUUCUUUCACCAAGUUUGUUCGGAACCUCAAUCAACUCGAAUUGCAUGGCGAUGAUCUACCAGUAGAGGAAGAAGUCACUGAAUCUGUACAUACGAAUGCAAACAUGAAUAUCCAAGUGCAAGCUGCUUAGUAAGAGUAGGCAUUUUUAAUGGUGUAAAUAUGUAUUUUGCCUGUCAUUGUAAGAGAGAAGAAUGUAUUGGACCGAGCAUACCAAAAGUAGCUUAAGGAUACCUGUACUUCACAUUGAAAUUAAAACUGCUAGUAUGAGCAAAUUUACCUCAAGGUUUCUCUUUGUAAUGCACGUAUAAUUAUAUAUGGGCAAGUUGUUUAACCUCCCCUUUGCAAGAAGAUGGGGUUACUUUGUUUUCAUAUUUGGUCUUGCCUCCC